AACGAACGCUGGCGGCAUGCUUUACACAUGCAAGUCGAACGGUAACAGGCCGCAAGGUGCUGACGAGUGGCGAACGGGUGAGUAAUGCACCGGAACGUGCCCAGUCGUGGGGGAUAACGCAGCGAAAGCUGCGCUAAUACCGCAUACGAUCUAUGGAUGAAAGCGGGGGACCGUAAGGCCUCGCGCGAUUGGAGCGGCCGAUGUCAGAUUAGGUAGUUGGUGGGGUAAAGGCUCACCAAGCCAACGAUCUGUAGCUGGUCUGAGAGGACGACCAGACACACUGGGACUGAGACACGGCCCAGACUCCUACGGGAGGCAGCAGUGGGGAAUUUUGGACAAUGGGCGCAAGCCUGAUCCAGCAAUGCCGCGUGCAGGAAGAAGGCCUUCGGGUUGUAAACUGCUUUUGUACGGAACGAAACGGUCCUGGUUAAUACCCGGGGCUAAUGACGGUACCGUAAGAAUAAGCACCGGCUAACUACGUGCCAGCCGCCGCCGUAAUAC
rnacentral:rRNA from 1 species